rnacentral:rRNA from 1 species
AACGAACGCUGGCGGCAUGCCUAACACAUGCAAGUCGAACGAGACCUUCGGGUCUAGUGGCGCACGGGUGCGUAACGCGUGGGAACCUGCCCUUAGGUUCGGAAUAACUCCCCGAAAGGGGUGCUAAUACCGGUUAAGGUCUUCGGACCAAAGAUUUAUCGCCUUUGGAUGGGCCCGCGUUGGAUUAGCUAGUUGGUAGGGUAAAAGCCUACCAAGGCGACGAUCCAUAGCUGGUCUGAGAGGAUGAUCAGCCACACUGGGACUGAGACACGGCCCAGACUCCUACGGGAGGCAGCAGUGGGGAAUAUUGGACAAUGGGCGAAAGCCUGAUCCAGCAAUGCCGCGUGAGUGAUGAAGGCCUUAGGGUUGUAAAGCUCUUUUACCCGGGAUGAUAAUGACAGUACCGGGAGAAUAAGCUCCGGCUAACUCCGUG